UUUUUAGUAUAAGUAUAUCCCAUGCAAUAUUUGGGACAAAUUGGAAAUACUUAUACUAAAA
rnacentral:pre_miRNA from 1 species